CUUGGAGUAGAAACCCUACAGAUCUUCCCUUUCCUUCCUUCACCUUUGAAAAACUACAUAUCCUUUGACUGACAAAAUCUGUAAUCAUUUCAAUAACCUCCACCCCUCAAUACUUACUGUAGAAGCUAUCAGAGGCUUGCAUCCUUAGAAUGUUGCUAUUAUUCCAGUUUGAACUUCAAACUCCUGAGUAUCUGGUGCAUAUCACGGUCAUAGAUUAAGUACACGAAAAUGCAGACUUCUUACAAGGAGAUGUUGCACUUUGUGAGCUUUUUGAACAGUAAUUUUUGUUGAGAGUAGGUCUGAGCAGAGCAGUCUCCUCCCACUGACAUUAAUACUCUGGUUCCAUCUCUUUAACAUGAACACAGUCCAGCACUGAGGGAUUUCACAGAACCCAUUCACAAGUUAAUUCUGGAUGCUCAAACACAGUAAUUUUGUGAAGCUGAGUUCUAUGAGACUACAGUCACAUCACCCAUGCAAACUCAACCACCCUAAAAUCAGCUGAACCUGCAAGCCCUCAUUUGAGAAAGAUGGUGCUAAGGAGGUGCCAAUGCCAGCUCCUAACCCUUCCUGGCCCAUAUACAAAAUUCUGACCUCAUCAGAGCUAUGCUGAUUCACAACAGCUGGGGCACUGGCACUUGCUGGUUUUAAGAGAUACACAGGGAGUUCUCUGCUAUUUCAAAUACUACAUCAUUGUUUAUCAAUGGAGAAAAGCUUGGAUCCACGCCUUUACCACUUGCCUGCAGAGGAACUAUAUUCUGUGUGGACAGGUGGAUAAAAAGGCCCAAAGUCAUUCUUCUGUUUUGCAGGAAGAGUAGAAAUCAGUUCAGAUUCCAGUCAGGAACAACUCCUUUGCUUUGAUGAAGCCACAACUUCCUCAUCUCUGAAGAAGGCCGCUGUUCAUUUUAUUUAUUUAUACUUAAACCCUCAUAACAAUUCAAUCUCAGCAAAGAACUGAGUAUUAAGUCUCCUGGCACAGAUGGUGAGUGAAUAGAAAGCACCAGAGGCAUGAAGAAAUCCCUCCAUUUGUCUUUCUCUUUAUAUUCACCUCCUGUAUACCCAAAUAUUGUAUGGCUUACUCAAAUGGGAGCAGAACUGCUCAGCUGACACCAAGCUUUUGCAGAGAUAUGAGUUUAUAACUCACUGAUUCCAACUGAAGUGUUCCCUUCUGUUGUGUUCUAUUUGCUGAGCGUGGCUCUGAGCUGCUGAAGUCCUGCCCUUCCAGUGGUCACAAAACCAUAUCCUUGUCCCUCCCAGGUGACUAUUCCUUGAAAAUUAAAGAGCAGAAUAUUUCCAAUGAACAGAGGGCAGUAGAGCCAUAGAAUUGCAGCUACCAUGACAAACAAAUCCAUUUUCAUGAG
rnacentral:lncRNA from 1 species